rnacentral:lncRNA from 1 species
UGAAGAUGUUGGUGUGCUAUGGAAAUGUGGAGCUCUUCAGCCCAUCAGAAGAGGAGAGGAAAUAAGUACAAAAGUAACCUCACAAGGUUGGGUCAUGUAACUGAUGCAACAUCCUCUUUGAAUCCAGUGGAAGGCUUCAUGGAGGAGGCAGGCAUCAAGGAGAGUUGCCUUGGAAGAGGAGAGAGCCCAGAAAGUCAGGGUCCUAGGACUGUGCCUGAACCCUUCCAUCUGACUUUGUUCAGGAUCUUGGCCAUCUCCCAUACUGUCACUGGGCUUUGGUCUCUUAGGAUGUAGCAAGAGCCCGAGAAUCAUAUAGGACCUGGGGGCAAAGUGUAUUAAUCUUCACUCAUUCAUCACCCUUUUCCUGAGCACUUUCAUGUGCUAGACACAGCCGAAAGGAUGGAGAGGACCACCGGUGUUCCAGUGACUCCAGCAGCUAGGAUCACGCUCUAGCUGCCGUGUGGAGACUGGACUGGAGGGAGAAGGGAGAAGACGCAAGCAGGGCAGUUAGGAGGCUGAUGCGGUGGUCCAGGUGGCCUCAGCUAGAAGAUCCUGGGAACACGGGCCGGACAUUGCCAUGGGCGACUGAAGAGGUGCCUCUUUCCUAUCCGCCUGGCAGUUAAGGCAGCGACGAAGAUCGCAGCAGGGCUGGCACGCUCUGAUUUUCUCCUGAGCGCUAAGUGGAGCUGCAAG